GACGUAGGGCGCGAGCGUUGUCCGGAUUUAUUGGGCGUAAAGAGCGUGUAGGCGGCCAGGUAGGUCUGCUGUGAAAACUCGAGGCUCAACCUCGAGACGUCGGCGGAAACCAUCUGGCUAGAGUCCGGAAGAGGCGAGUGGAAUUCCUGGUGUAGCGGUGAAAUGCGCAGAUAUCAGGAAGAACACCCGUGGCGAAGGCGGCUUCCUGGACUGCAACUGACGCUGGAGGCGCGAAAGCCUAGGGGAGCAAACAGG
rnacentral:rRNA from 1 species